GAUGAACGCUGGCGGCGUGCCUAAUACAUGCAAGUCGAGCGAACAGACGAGGAGCUUGCUCCUCUGACGUUAGCGGCGGACGGGUGAGUAACACGUGGAUGACCUACCUAUAAGACUGGGAUAACUUCGGGAAACCGGAGCUAAUACCGGAUAAUAUAUUGAACCGCAUGGUUCAAUAGUGAAAGACGGUUUUGCUGUCACUUAUAGAUGGAUCCGCGCCGCAUUAGCUAGUUGGUAAGGUAACGGCUUACCAAGGCAACGAUGCGUAGCCGACCUGAGAGGGUGAUCGGCCACACUGGAACUGAGACACGGUCCAGACUCCUACGGGAGGCAGCAGUAGGGAAUCUUCCGCAAAGGGCGAAAGCCUGACGGAGCAACGCCGCGUGAGUGAUGAAGGUCUUCGGAUCGUAAAACUCUGUUAUUAGGGAAGAACAAAUGUGUAAGUAACUAUGCACGUCUUGACGGUACCUAAUCAGAAAGCCACGGCUAACUACGUG
rnacentral:rRNA from 1 species